CCUACGGGUGACAGCAGUGAGGAAUAUUGGUCAAUGGACGAGAGUCUGAACCAGCCAAGUAGCGUGAAGGAUGACUGCCCUAUGGGUUGUAAACUUCUUUUGUCAGGGAGCAAUUGGUGCUACGUGUAGCGUUAUCGAGAGUACCUGAAGAAAAAGCAUCGGCUAACUCCGUGCCAGCAGCCGCGGUAAUACGGAGGAUGCGAGCGUUAUCCGGAUUUAUUGGGUUUAAGGGAGCGUAGAUGGGUUGUUAAGUCAGUUGUGAAAGUUUGCGGCUCAACCGUAAAAUUGCAAUUGAUACUGGCAGCCUUGAGUACAGUUGAGGUAGGCGGAAUUCGUGGUGUAGCGGUGAAAUGCUUAGAUAUCACGAAGAACUCCGAUUGCGAAGGCAGCUUACUAAACUGCCACUGACAUUGAUGCUCGAAAGUGUGGGUAUCAAACAGGAUUAGAUACCCCUGUAGUC
rnacentral:rRNA from 1 species